GCACAGCAAAGCCUAAAUGGCGCUCGUUGUGCUCAUGAACAGUUCACUAAUCUGAUCCUACAUCAGGACCAACAGGUUGGUUCUUGUUUGCAAAGAAAGGAGAAGAGGAGGAGUUUAGUUCGGAAAAAAGACUGUCUGACAGGACUGCAGAGACCCGUGAGGAAUGAGAUGGAAUUCUGGAGCAACACAAGCCGAACUCUCUAAAUCAACCAUGAACAUUUGCAGGUCUCAGUGUUUCUACAGGUUUCCAGAUCAUGAACCUAUGAACAAAUCAGUACACGUGAACGCUGACAUCAGAUGAUGCUCAAAGCAGCUGGAUUAUUUCCCACAGGGGUUAUACUAAUGCCGAAGUCAGGGAGAACCA